GAUGAACGCUGGCGGCGUGCCUAAUACAUGCAAGUCGAGCGAACAGACGAGGAGCUUGCUCCUCUGACGUUAGCGGCGGACGGGUGAGUAACACGUGGAUAACCUACCUAUAAGACUGGGAUAACUUCGGGAAACCGGAGCUAAUACCGGAUAAUAUAUUGAACCGCAUGGUUCAAUAGUGAAAGACGGUUUUGCUGUCACUUAUAGAUGGAUCCGCGCCGCAUUAGCUAGUUGUAAGGUAACGGCUUACCAAGGCAACGAUGCGUAGCCGACCUGAGAGGGUGAUCGGCCACACUGGAACUGAGACACGGUCCAGACUCCUACGGGAGGCAGCAGUAGGGAAUCUUCCGCAAUGGGCGAAAGCUUGACGGAGCAACGCCGCGUGAGUGAUGAAGGUCUUCGGAUCGUAAAACUCUGUUAUUAGGGAAGAACAAAUGUGUAAGUAACUAUGCACGUCUUGACGGUACCUAAUCAGAAAGCCACGGCUAACUACGUG
rnacentral:rRNA from 1 species